CGCCGCGUGGGUGAAUAAGGCCUUCGGGUUGUCUAACCCUUUUCUGUGGGACGAGAAACGACGGUACCUCAUGAAUAAGCCUCGGCUAACUAUGUGCCAGCAGCCACGGUAAUACAUAGGAGGCAAGCGUUAUCCGGAUUUACUGGGCGUCACGAGCGUCGACGCGGCCCUGUAAGUUGGACGUCAAAGCUCCCGGCUCAACUGGGAGAGGCCGUUCAAUACUGCAGGGCUCGAGGACAGCAGACGGGGGUGGAAUUCCCGGUGUAGCGGUGAAAUGCGUAGAUAUCGGCAGGAACUCCAUGUGGCUAAUGCGGACCCCUGGGCUGCUCCUGACAGCUGAAGGCGACAGCUACGGUAGCAAACGGGCAUCAGAAACCCCGGUAGUCCUAGCCGUACACGAUGGAUACUGGGUCUGGGAGAGUAGAAAUCUUCCGAGCCGAAGAGUACGCGGCAAGUAUCCCGCCUGGGGACUACGCCCGCAAGGCUAGGACUCAAAGGAGUCGACGGGGGCCCGCACAAGCAACGGAGCGGGUGGACGAACGCGAUGCAACGCGAAGAACCUUACCAGG
rnacentral:rRNA from 1 species